rnacentral:lncRNA from 1 species
AGAGCCCAUUAAAGAGUUUUAAUAAUUUUUUGAAGAUCUAACUUCUCAUUACUUGAAGAAUUUGAAUUUGAAAAUUUAUAAAGUUUGGUCAGAGCUAAAAUUCUAAUUGGGGAGUGAAAAAAUGGUGAUACUAGUGAAUUUCUGUAAAUGAGGUUAAACAAUUAUACAAUUAAUGGUGAUUGUAAUGAUGAUCCGGUAAAUUUAUGGUGUGAGGAGACCCAAAAAUGAUAAUGAAGAAAAGGGGCCA